AGGUGGAACACCAACCAGUGU
rnacentral:miRNA from 1 species